GACGAACGCUGGCGGCGUGCCUAAUACAUGCAAGUAGAACGCUGAAGGAAGGAGCUUGCUCUUUCUGGAUGAGUUGCGAACGGGUGAGUAACGCGUAGGUAACCUGCCUGGUAGCGGGGGAUAACUAUUGGAAACGAUAGCUAAUACCGCAUAAAAUUGAUUAUUGCAUGAUAGUCAAUUAAAAGGUGCAACUGCACCACUACCAGAUGGACCUGCGUUGUAUUAGCUAGUUGGUGGGGUAACGGCUCACCAAGGCGACGAUACAUAGCCGACCUGAGAGGGUGAUCGGCCACACUGGGACUGAGACACGGCCCAGACUCCUACGGGAGGCAGCAGUAGGGAAUCUUCGGCAAUGGACGGAAGUCUGACCGAGCAACGCCGCGUGAGUGAAGAAGGUUUUCGGAUCGUAAAGCUCUGUUGUAAGAGAAGAACGAGUGUGAGAGUGGAAAGUUCACACUGUGACGGUAUCUUACCAGAAGGGGACGGCUAACUACGUG
rnacentral:rRNA from 1 species